UACAGAGGUGGCAAGCGUUGUUCGGAAUUACUGGGCGUAAAGGGCGCGUAGGCGGUCCUGAUCGUCGGAUGUGAAAGGCCUGGGCUCAACCUGGGAAUGGCAUCCGAUACGGCGGGACUGGAGUGUGGGAGAGGUUGGUGGAAUUCCCAGUGUAGAGGUGAAAUUCGUAGAUAUUGGGAAGAACACCGGUGGCGAAGGCGGCCAACUGGACCACAACUGACGCUGAGGCGCGAAAGCGUGGGGAGCAAACAGG
rnacentral:rRNA from 1 species